rnacentral:rRNA from 1 species
GUGAGGAAUAUUGGUCAAUGGGCGGGAGCCUGAACCAGCCAAGUCGCGUGAAGGAAGAAGGAUCUAUGGUUCGUAAACUUCUUUUGCAGGGGAAUAAAGUGCAGGACGUGUCCUGUUUUGUAUGUACCCUGAGAAUAAGGAUCGGCUAACUCCGUGCCAGCAGCCGCGGUAAUACGGAGGAUCCGCGCGUUAUCCGGAUUUAUUGGGUUUAAAGGGUGCGUAGGUGGUGUGAUAAGUCAGAGGUGAAAGUUUGCAGCUUAACUGUAAAAAUGCCGUUGAAACUGUCGGACUUGAGUGUAAAUGAGGUAGGCGGAAUGCGUGGUGUAGCUGUGAAAUGCAUAGAUAUCACGCAGAACUCCGAUUGCGAAGGCAGCUUACUAAGCUACAACUGACACUGAAGCACGAAAGCGUGGGGAUCAAACAGGAUUAGAUACCCCUGUAGUCC